GGCAGUGAUGGCUCAAUGGUUAAGGCAUUGGGUUUCUAAUUGGAGGGUUGCAAGUUCAAAUCUCAGCACUGCCA